rnacentral:rRNA from 1 species
CGGAUUAGCGGCGGACGGGUGAGUAACACGUGAGUAACCUGCCUUAGACAUUGGGAUAGCCUCGGGAAACCGGGAUUAAUACCAAAUAAAAUCAUAAUGACACAUGUCAUAACGAUCAAAACUCCGGUGGUCUAAGAUGGACUCGCGUCCCAUUAGCUAGUUGGUAGAGUAAAAGCCUACCAAGGCGAUGAUGGGUAGCCGGCCUGAGAGGGUGAACGGCCACAUUGGAACUGAGAAACGGUCCAA